rnacentral:sRNA from 1 species
UGUAAAGGAACGAAGGUUAAAAACGCCACGUCCUGUGGCAACACCUUCAUGACCCACUUCCUGUGGG